AAAAAAAAGUUAUACGUUCUAGUGCCACCAAGUGGACAUCUUUACUUGCCAAUGAAAGCUUGCUUUAAAAUUAUUUUUAUUUCAACAGUUACGUUCAACUUUUAUGGAUGUUUAUUGCUAAGUGACGCUUCUUCACACACUGAAGUAUUUUCUUCUGAAUCGAAAUAUGUCAAGCGCAACAGCUGCUUACCUAAUGCCUUGUUGAAGAGUGCCAUUUGACAGCAGUAGAACCUGACAUUCCUCAUUAUCCAUGAGGAUAAUGCAUACUUCCAUGCAUACUUUUCUGCCUUUGUUAAUAACUUGACCUGGGAAAAAUCAGCAUAUGAAAUAGUAGUUGAAAACCUGGUGGUCUGCUUACUCCUUGAGUCUCUUUCCUCCAUCUGAUGGACUAUACAGGAAGUUACAAGAGUAGAGCAGGAUGGGCAAGCUUGUUAACAGGAUCAACAUAGAAUACUUCUGAUUUGAAAUGGAAUUUACCACAUUUGCUGUAUUAGACCACUCACCAAAUCCUAUGCACGCUAGAGCUUGACCUCAAAAUCUGGAAACCACUGUAAUGGAGCAAGGUCAAAAGAAAAGUCUAGAUCAGGUUUCAUUCCAGAGAAACUGUGUCCCCAUUUCUGUAUGAAUGUUCCAAGUUUCUUUCCUUUUAUGUUCUUACGAACACCAUCGUGGAGACCAUGGAUUCUGAGGAAGCAGCAAUUUUCUCUGCUCAGAGUGCGCUUACUUCAGGCAGCAGGAAAGAAGAACUCUUUCAAUCUCAUUGGACUAACUGAGGCAGAAUUAAAAGAAACAUUUGUAAGAGGUGAUGGCCCAGGAGGUCAAGCCACAAAUAAGACAAACAACUGUGUUGUCUUGAAGCAUAUUCCAUCUGGGAUUGUAGUGAAGUGUCAUCAAACAAGAUCAGUGGAGCAGAACCGAAAGAUAGCCAGAGAAAUCCUGCAGGAAAAAGUUGACCUCUUCUACAAAGGUGAAGACAGUGAUGUUUUUAAAGAGAAGAAAGCAUCAGAGAAGAAGAAGCAGGAGAAAAAAAGAAGAGCAAAGGAAAACCUAGAAAGGAAAAAGCAUUUUAAAGAGAUGCAACAAUUGGAUAAGAAAUAAACAUGUGAAAUACUGACUUGCCCUAGUAGGGUAAGGGAAACGUUUGUCAUUACACCUAAACACAGUUUUCAAACUAGCAGAUGAUGUAGGGCUUCAUAAGCAGAACUGAAAUACUGAGUAUUGACCUGCUAUUACUGUAAAACUGACGUGAUAAAAGCAGUCAUGUAUUCCUACUUCUGUCUGCCAUCUUCUCAUUAAUGACUUUUAGCGAUCAGUUUUUCUGCCAAGUUCCGAAGAUGAUGAACCAAUCCUUGUUCAAAAGGAACUAUAACCUCUCCACCAUUGUUAAUGGAGACAAAAAAAAUGCAAUAGAUCUACUGCCCAGCUGAUACCUUAUGAUGCUUUGUAGGAGUUCCAAUACAUACAGAGAACAGCCCUAAAGGGUUAUAACUUUCCAUCCUUACUCAGCCAAUGCCUCUGCUGACACAAAUCCUUUAUAAACAGUGACCAGGUUUAGAUACUGGUUCUGAUGGUGUAAACAGACAUGCGGAUGGAAGAGACACCAGUUGCUGGUUGCCUUCUUCAGAUCUGUUAGCUGAACAAAUGCUCUGUCCUACUCCAUUAUGAAUUAAGUUUAAACAGAAGCUUUACAAAUCUUAUCUGGAGUGGUGAAGAGCACUGGGGUGGAAGGCACUCCUGCAAGUGAGGGUUGAUCCAUCAUGUUCUUCAGUUCAAAGGUAAAAUUGAGUCAUUACAGAUAAAGAACACCACGUGUUGGAAGCUGCCUCCCAAGGCAACAGAAUCCAAUUCAUCCAAGCUGUGAACACCCUCACUGGCUGCCACCAAGUUUUGGCCUUCAACAGUGAAGGGAGAGUGCUUCAAGAACCAAAGCCAUAGGAAGUAUUUUGAAAGCAAUGGAGACUACUAGCAACUAUACCACCUUCUUACAGAGAUCAGUUGCAUCCAGACUGUGCCAUGGAUGGAAACUCACCAGCAAUCUGCAGGCCCGUUCCCUUGUCCGUUCCUGAACUUGAGCCUCCUGCAUGAAGGUUAAAUUUUUAUCUGUUGAGAGUUCUUGUUCAUGGAGUAUGAAUCCGAUCAAAGUGACUAUACAUAGUUUUAAUACAAACUGUUAAUGAAAAUAAGCUUUAUUACAUCAAGUAAUAAAUACAUACAAAGAUGCAAAUAACAGUUUUAGUAAUUUAUCCAGAAUUCUCUUUUUUUGGCAAACUUUAAACUGAAAUCUCCAGCCUUAAUGUAGAACUUAGCUUUCCAGGACCUUGUUAUUAUUCAAUAGGUUUCCCUAUUUUCCAUAUAACUCAUGCACUUUAAGUGGACUUCAAAGCACUAACAGUCAUGCAAAUGUUUAUGCAAAACAAACAAAAAAGGAAAAAUAAGAGAAGGGGAAGGUUAUUUCUAAGCAGGGUCUAUGCUGUAUGACAAAUUGUGACUUAGCAGACUACUAGGUACAGCAUGCUAUUCUGCAUUUAUUAAAAAAAAUCCUUAGAGCUUAUGUCAAACUUUGAAAGAUUGACAGUUUGGGGUUAAGUGAAUAUAGUCAAAGGAAAAAAAACAGAAUGAGACUGUGGCUGGAUAAGAAGAGAACUGAAAUAUAGCCUGGGAGAGAAAGAGCAUUCCUCUGCAUGCAGUUCAGUUUUCAUGUUUUAGAAACAUUUUAGGGAGUUUUAACGUCUUUACAAAAUGCAAACUCUCAGUAAGUUGAAAAACCCUUGUUUUCUCAUUCUUAACUAUACAUUUUUGUAAGGGCAAAACAAGAAAGGUAAAACAUUCAAAAUAAAGGAAUUUGUCUGAA